GACGAACGCUGGCGGCGUGCUUAACACAUGCCAGUCGAACGGAAAGGCCCUGCUUUUGUGGGGUGCUCGAGUGGCGAACGGGUGAGUAACACGUGAGUAACCUGCCCUUGACUUUGGGAUAACUUCAGGAAACUGGGGCUAUUACCGGAUAUGAGCUCCUGCUGCAUGGUGGGGGUUGGAAAGUUUCGGCGGUUGGGGAUGGAAUCGCGGCUUAUCCGCUUGUUGGUGGGGUAGUGGCUUACCAAGGCUUUGACGGGUAGCCGGCCUGGGAGGGGGACCGGCCACAUUGGGACUGAGAUACGGCCCAGACUCCUGCGGGAGGCAGCAGUGGGGAAUAUUGCACAAUGGGCGGAAGCCUGAUGCAGCAACGCCGCGUGCGGGAUGACGGGCUUCGGGUUGUAAACCGCUUUCGCCUGUGACGAAGCGUGAGUGACGGUAAUGGGUAAAGAAGCACCGGCUAACUACGUG
rnacentral:rRNA from 1 species